rnacentral:rRNA from 1 species
ACGAACGCUGGCGGCGUGCCUAAUACAUGCAAGUCGAACGCACUCUCGUUUAGAUUGAAGGAGCUUGCUCCUGAUUGAUAAACAUUUGAGUGAGUGGCGGACGGGUGAGUAACACGUGGGUAACCUGCCCUAAAGUGGGGGAUAACAUUUGGAAACAGAUGCUAAUACCGCAUAAAACCUAACACCGCAUGGUGUAGGGUUGAAAGAUGGUUUCGGCUAUCACUUUAGGAUGGACCCGCGGUGCAUUAGUUAGUUGGUGAGGUAAAGGCUCACCAAGACCGUGAUGCAUAGCCGACCUGAGAGGGUAAUCGGCCACACUGGGACUGAGACACGGCCCAGACUCCUACGGGAGGCAGCAGUAGGGAAUCUUCCACAAUGGACGAAAGUCUGAUGGAGCAACGCCGCGUGAGUGAAGAAGGUUUUCGGAUCGUAAAACUCUGUUGUUGGAGAAGAAUGUAUCUGAUAGUAACUGAUCAGGUAGUGACGGUAUCCAACCAGAAAGCCACGGCUAACUACGUGCCAGCAGCCGCGGUAAUACGUAGGUGGCAAGCGUUGUCCGGAUUUAUUGGGCGUAAAGCGAGCGCAGGCGGUUUCUUAAGUCUGAUGUGAAAGCCUUCGGCUCAACCGAAGAAGUGCAUCGGAAACUGGGAAACUUGAGUGCAGAAGAGGACAGUGGAACUCCAUGUGUAGCGGUGAAAUGCGUAGAUAUAUGGAAGAACACCAGUGGCGAAAGCGGCUGUCUGGUCUGUAACUGACGCUGAGGCUCGAAAGC